rnacentral:rRNA from 1 species
AUUGAACGCUGGCGGCAGGCCUAACACAUGCAAGUCGGACGGUAGCACAGAGAGCUUGCUCUCGGGUGACGAGUGGCGGACGGGUGAGUAAUGUCUGGGGAUCUGCCCGAUAGAGGGGGAUAACCACUGGAAACGGUGGCUAAUACCGCAUAACGUCGCAAGACCAAAGAGGGGGACCUUCGGGCCCCUCACUAUCGGAUGAACCCGGAUGGGAUUAGCUAGUAGGAGGGGUAACGGCCCACCUAGGCGACGAUCCCUAGCUGGGCUGAGAGGAUGUCCAGCCACACUGGAACUGAGACACGGUCCAGACUCCUACGGGAGGCAGCAGUGGGGAAUAUUGCACAAUGGGCGCAAGCCUGAUGCAGCCAUGCCGCGUGUAUGAAGAAGGCCUUCGGGUUGUAAAGUACUCUCAGCGGGGAGGAAGGCGAUGUGGUUAAUAACCGUAUCGAUUGACGUUACCCGCAGAAGAAGCACCGGCUAACUCCGUGCCAGCCGCCGCCGUAA